rnacentral:lncRNA from 1 species
UCAUUCGGUACACAUAACCUUCCUUUUCCAAUCACCCAUCUAUCAUGGCCUCUAUAAAUCAAAAAAGAAAAUCCAAAAUUGAUGGUAAAAGUAUAACUAAUGGAAAUACAACAACAGUUUAAGAACCUGUCAAUGUCAAGUUCUAUGAACUGCUGCUAAUGUCAAGUUUAUUAUGACCUUCACCUCUAGUCCUCUAACUUCUUUUACCUGUUUUCCUAUUGGUAGAGGAAUUACUUAAGUAAAUAUUGCGAGCUCAGAUCGUGCUCUGUAGACAUGUAGCUAUCAGCUCAUGCUCUGUAGACAUGUAACUGUCAGUCAAUAACUCAGUGGCUGCACCAAA